AACGAACGCUGGCGGCAUGCCAAACACAUGCAAGUCGAACGAGAUCUUCGGGUCUAGUGGCGCACGGGUGCGUAACGCGUGGGAAUCUGCCCUUUGGUUCGGAAUAACAGUUGGAAACGACUGCUAAUACCGGAUGAUGACGAAAGUCCAAAGAUUUAUCGCCAGAGGAUGAGCCCGCGUAGGAUUAGCUAGUUGGUGUGGUAAAGGAGCACCAAGGCGACGAUCCUUAGCUGGUCUGAGAGGAUGAUCAGCCACACUGGAACUGAGACACGGCCCAGACUCCUACGGGAGGCAGCAGUGGGGAAUAUUGGACAAGGGCCGAAAGGCUGAUCCAGCAAUGCCUCGUGAGUGAUGAAGGCCUUAGGGUUGUAAAGCUCUUUUACCCGGGAUGAUAAUGACAGUACCGGGAGAAUAAGCUCCGGCUAACUCCGUGCCAGCAGCCGCCGUAA
rnacentral:rRNA from 1 species